GACUCUGUAGCUCAGUUGGCCAGAGCACUGCACAGGAAUCGCAGGGCAGCAGGUUCGUUUCCUACCAGAGCUG